rnacentral:rRNA from 1 species
GCAGCACGGGAGCAAUCCUGGUGGCGAGUGGCGAACGGGUGAGUAAUAUGUCGGAACGUGCCCAGUCGUGGGGGAUAACGUAGCGAAAGCUACGCUAAUACCGCAUACGAUCUACGGAUGAAAGCGGGGGACUCGUAAGGGCCUCGCGCGAUUGGAGCGGCCGAUAUCAGAUUAGGUUGUUGGUGAGGUAAAAGCUCACCAAGCCUGCGAUCUGUAGCUGGUCUGAGAGGACGACCAGCCACACUGGAACUGAGACACGGUCCAGACUCCUACGGGAGGCAGCAGUGGGGAAUUUUGGACAAUGGACGCAAGUCUGAUCCAGCAAUGCCGCGUGCAGGACGAAGGCCUUCGGGUUGUAAACUGCUUUUGUACGGAACGAAACGGUCUGCUUUAAUACAGUGGGCUAAUGACGGUACCGUAAGAAUAAGCACCGGCUAACUACGUGCCAGCAGCCGCGGUAAUACGUAGGGUGCGAGCGUUAAUCGGAAUUACUGGGCGUAAAGCGUGCGCAGGCGGUUAUAUAAGACAGAUGUGAAAUCCCCGGGCUCAACCUGGGACCUGCAUUUGUGACUGUAUAGCUAGAGUACGGUAGAGGGGGAUGGAAUUCCGCGUGUAGCAGUGAAAUGCGUAGAUAUGCGGAGGAACACCGAUGGCGAANGCAAUCCCCUGGACCUGUACUGACGCUCAUGCACGAAAGCGUGNGGAGCAAACAGGAUUAGAUACCCUGGUAGUCCACGCCCUAAACGAUGUCAACUGGUUGUUGGGUCUUCACUGACUCAGUAACGAAGCUAACGCGUGAAGUUGACCGCCUGGGGAGUACGGCCGCAAGGUUGAAACUCAAAGGAAUUGACGGGGANCCGCACAAGCGGUGGAUGANGUNGNUUUAAUUCGAUGCNNCGCGAAAAANCNUUACCCACCUUUGAC